GGGCAAUGAGGAGACUAUAUCCAGGAAUUACCCAUGUCUGUGAAUAUAUACGCUAUUCUGAGCCCUGU